UACGUAGGGUGCGAGCGUGUCCGGAAUUAUUGGGCGUAAAGGGCUCGUAGGCGGUUUGUCGCGUCGGCUGUGAAAACUCGGGGCUUAACCCCGGGCCUGCAGUGGGUACGGGCAGACUAGAGUGCGGUAGGGGAGACUGGAAUUCCGUGGUGUAGCGGUGAAAUGCGCAGAUAUCAGGAGGAACACCUAUUGCGAAGGCAGCUCGCUGGGACGUAACUGACGCUGAGACGCGAAAGCGUGGGGAGCAAACAGG
rnacentral:rRNA from 1 species